CGGAGCUGAGGGGAGAGGGGUGGUGGGUUCGGUGCCAAGGGGAUCUCUGGCGAUUUGGCUUGGUCUCAGCUGGCCGGUCUGUUUAAAAUAGUUUUGAUUUUAUAUUGUGCUUGUGCUCUGCCUCCUCUUCUCCAGACUGAAGAGUCGCAGUUCCCUCAGCCGCUCCCCACAAGGCCUGUGCUGCAGACCCUCCGCAGCUUCAUGCCUGCUCUGGACACACUCCAGGGCCCCAACGGCCUUCUUGAAGUGAGGGGCCCAAAACCGAACUCAGUUAUGUUGCAGACGAAAGCCCAUUCGGGUUGCUGGGCUCUGUUCAUUACUAUCAGUGGUACCAUCAUUCACACCCAGACAAUGCUUUGGGUUUCCCAGAGCUGCCCCUUCUCCACUCGAUGUGCUGGAGGCAUCAUCACAGACAUGUUACGUAUCCCAAGCUGUGACCACACAGAAUCCAAAGACUCCUUUACAUCUGUCACUGUACUUGCUGAGAGUACGGCCUGAACAGUCAUCGGGUGGGAAACCAUUCUGCACUUACAUGAAUACUUGAGGGUGGUGUGGGGGUGGAACAGGCUGCCCAGUGAGGCGGUGGAUGCCCCAUUCCUGGAGGCAGUCAAGGUCAGGCUCAAGGGCUCUGAGCACCCGAUGGAGCUGUGGGUGUCCCUGCUCGCUGCAGGGGAGCUGGAACAGACGACCUUCAAAGAUUCCUUCCAACUCAAAUGUUUUCCUAUGAUUCGUUGAUUACCUUGGUGCAGUUCAGGCAGUGCCCCAUGGCAGAUCCCAUGGUGAGAGGACAGGGUUGGUAAAGAUAACUGGUGAGUGUUUGUUUAGUCCCUGGUAUACCCGGUGAUACAUCUCAUGAUUUUGACGUUUUCUGUGGUCUUCUUUCCUUUGCUUGUUUGCUCAUUCUUUGUCCUUUGACCUACUUAUAAAUAGAGAGGCUAUCAAAUCUCUUUUUACUAUAAGCAGUAUUUGAACAACAAUUGGUGCUGUUUGUGCUUCUGUCCUCUCAGCUUAGACACAGCCAACAGGCAGAGGUGACUUGCAUCCUUCAUUUAGAUUGUAUAGGUGAGCAGGAGCUACAACAGUUCCUACAGCUUGGAAGAUGGAAGACAUCCCCAUUUCCACCUUUUCCCUUUAAGAUACAGGCUCUUUAGAAAAAUCAAAAUUCAGAUCUAACAGUGUACAGGUAGUUUUGAUUUUGGAGGCAGCUGUUGAUAUUUUAUCUUAUUUCUAUUGGGGGGGGAGGGAAUAAGCUAUAACUCUAAACAAGGUUUCACAGGCUUUCUGACAAACAUAUCCACAGCUCCAUAAUCUGUCUAGAUUUGAUCAGUAUUAUUAGCAUCCUUUCAUCAUGACUUGGCAAUCCUUUGCUAAUCAAUAUGGAUAUUUGAUGUGUAGCAUGCAACGACAAAGGCUGAGAGCUCUUGGGAUUCUCUUGUCAGAUGGUGUGGUGCCAGCUGGAAGAUGUCUCCUAAUAUCACACAGAAUCCAGCCUAGGAAUAUUUGGAAUGAGAGACAAUUAAACAAAGAUACUAGGACCAAAUAAAAUAAAAUAACCAACAACCUUUUCUCCCUGCUAGACAUGGAAUAACUACAAAAGAGAAAAUAGCACAUUUCAGUUCCAAAGCUUCCAGAGGAGAACUGAAGUAAUGAAAUGAUGCAGUCAGAGACCCUUGCUGUGGCUGUUCAGCACAUCUGAGCACAUCUGGACUGGAACAGAGACCCUACAUUAACCACAACAAAGUCUUGACCAGGCCUGGCAGGCAAAUCCUCCCUACUUAGAUAUUUCAUUCACUCCCUUCUGCACAUGUCAGCACUUUAUCUGACAUUUCUGUGACCUUUCCAUUUUUCCUGUUUCUAAAAAAUAAUUCAGUGAAGGUGGAAAUUCCUCUGGACCAUAUGUUUAAACUCACUUCAGGCUUGGUUUUUUUAGUCACCUAUUGCAGAUGUCUUACAUGGUUGGCUGAAAGCCUUCAUUUUAGUGUGUUGGUGUUGGACAGUAACACUUAAGGGGGAAAAAAUGCUUAUGUUAAGAAUAUCACACUGUUCCUGAUUAAAAAGUCUACUCUGCUUCUGCAUUCAAGGCAACAGUCAUAGCAUGGCUUGAGUUGGAAAGGAUCUUAAAGUUCACCAAUUCCAACCCCCUGCCAUGGGCUGUUUACCCUCCCACCAGACCAAGCUGCCCAGGGCUCCAGUCAACCUGGCCUUGAACGUUUUCAGGGAUGGGGCAUGCACAGCUCCUCUGGGCAGCCUGUGCCAGGGCCUCAACACUGAGGUCUCACUGGAGCCUUCUCCAGAAUAAACAAGCUCAACUCCCUCAAAUUUUCUUCAUAGGAGAGGUAUUCCAGCCCUCUUACCAUCCUCAUGGCCCUCCUCUGGACCUACUCCACAACUUUCCCAGACAUGGAUUCAGUUCUCCAGAUGGGAUCUCAGAAGGGCAGAGUAGAGAGGGACCAUCACCUCUCUCUCCCUGCUGGCCACCCCUCUGUUGAUGCAGCCCAGGAGACUGCUGGCCUUCCAGGCUACAAGCAUAUAUUGCUGGCUUGUGUCCAGCUUUUCAUCCUCAAGAUGAAAUGAUGAAUUCACCAGAAUCCUCAAGUCCUUCUCCAUAGGGCUGCUCUCGAUGAGUUCUUCUCCCAAUCUAUAUUCAUGUCUGAAAUUGCUUCAACCCAAGCACAGCACCUCAGUAGGUUCACAGAGGCCCACUUUCAAGUUUUUCCAGAUCUCUCUGGAUGGCAUCCCUUUCUUCUGUCAUGUCAACCGCACCAUUCAGCUUGGAGUAAUCAGCGAACUUACUAAGGGUGCAUUCAGUCCCAGUGUCUAGGUCAUUGACAAAGAUGUUGAAGAGUACCGGUCUGGAGGUGAAACCCUGGGGGACACCACUCUCCAAUGGUCACCAGUCUUCACCUAGACAUAGAGCUGUUGACUACAACCCCCUAGCUGUGAUCAUCCUACCAAAUCCUUAUCCACGAAUAGCCAGCUUUUAAAAUCCACACUUUUCCAGUUUAGAGAUAAGGGUAUGGUGUGGGACUGUGCCAAAUGCCUUGCACAAGUCCAGAUAGAUUACAUUAGUUGCCCUUCCUUUGUCUGCCGAUGCUGCCAUUCCAUCACAGAAGGCCAUCAGAUUGGUCCUGCAUGAUCUGCCAUUGGUGAAGCUGUGCUGGCUGUGUUGAAUCACCUCCUCACCUCAGACAUGCCUUAACAUGUCUUAUGGGAAGAUUAGCUCCAUGAUCUUAUCAGGCACAGAGGUGAAGCUCAUCAACCUGUAGUUCCCCAGGUCUUCCUUUCUGUCUUACUUACAAAUGAGAGUGAAGUUUCCCUUUUUUCCAGUUCCUGGGAACUUCCCCUGACAACCCUUUUCAGAUAUGAUGGAGAGUGCCUUGGCAACCACACCAGCAAGUUCCAUCAGAACCCUGGGGUGCAUGUCAUCUGGCUCCAUAGACUUGUAUGUAUUAGUGAAAAACACCUAUUCUCCACCAGCUUGGGCUGCAGUAGAUCAUCCCUCUUUACGCUAACACACUUCUACUUUCUACACUGCCUAACCUGGUCUCUGACUGAUUAGAAAUCAGUACAACUGAGCUAGUGUUCAGAGGAAUUUUUCACAAUUGAUUCUGAAGUUCACAUCUUCUUUUGUGUCUUUUCUUUAUCCCAGUUAUACCAUUUGGUGUAAUAACAUUACUACUCUUCUCUAGAAAAUGUUUGUAAGGCCUUAACCCAUGACACCUUCAUCAAUAGCACUUCGGAAUGCACUCCAGUAACCUUGGAGGCCCAUUGUGAUUCCACUGUAUUCAGAUUCUGUUAGAGAAGUGGCUUCAUGUAAGGGAACCAAGUUUGACUUCCAGAUUUCAGCUGAGUUUGUAGAGAAGUAGGAAUUCUCUCCUAUUAGAGUGAAACUAAUAGCUGAGGAGACUUUAACAUCCCUGAGUCUGAUAAAGCUCCUGCAGAGCCCCACUGUAAACGCUCAUUUCAAGGAAGAUGUUGGCGGUUAUUCUGCACAAUGCACGCUCUGCUGAUGAAAUGAUGAUGGCCACACACGUGCAUGCUGAGCAUGGUCUGUGACAAAGCGCUGAGGGAUCAUGGGCUGUUCAGUCUGAGGAGCAAAAGCCACCGCCAUGAAACAAUUAAGUCCAUUGGGUAAAGAGAUCACCUGCCCCGCAGCAAAGAACAAACUCUUUCAUCUGCACUGUGAAUGGGAAAACAGGGGAACUCACAAGCCAGGUGAUGUGACCAGGCUUAGGAGUAGAAAUAUAAGCAUCAUCCCUGCAGGGGACCCAUUCUGCACUGAGCAGCAAUUGUCUAGAGGAAAUGUGACAAUACAAGGACAGAAUACAGCUCACAAGCAGUUCAACUCCAAAUUUCACACAGAGGGCUUGGCAGGAGCCCAUCCAAAGCCACAGCUGUGGCAGGACGCAAGCCAGGAGCCACAAGUUGUACUGCUACCAGUGCUUUCCAGCCUCAUCCUGCCAUAUGUUAUCCAUUAUGUCCUGCAUGUCUCCACCACAGAGGGACUUUUUUUCCUUUUGCUUCCCUCAGAUCUCCAACAGUUUUGGUACAAGGUUCAGUAGAUGACAGUAUACACAAGCCUUUUGGACUUUUCUUUCUUUUUUGGGCAUCCUCAAGCCUCAUGAACACCUAUUACAGUACUAAAGGAAGCAGAGAUGGUUUGGCUGGAGGUAUAGUCUCUUAUACCUUACAUAUAAUGUUGCAGACUCUCCAUAAGAAACUACUCCGGAAACCAGCAGCUCAUGGCAAGGCCAAGUAAGAUAAAAAAGGGGGAUGCAGGAGCAUUUGGCACAUAGUUCUAACCUCCAAUAUAGAACUUAGGAUGUCCUGAGGACAUUCCUCCCAAACUGGUCUUCCUUGUUCCAAGGAGGGAAGCUGAGACAGAGAAAUAGGAUGGCUAGACAGAGACCUUGCUCUCUUGAGCAAUGAAUGCAUGGAGACAGAUCUAGUGCUACAGACGCAGCUCUGGAGCUCAAGAUUCUCCUGUAAGCUUUAGUGCUAUACAGCCAACAUUGGUCCGUUCUAUACCUAGAGGUAUGCAUAUGGUCUAAUGCUUCUAAGGGGGAACUGUUGCUUCAGAGUAAAUGAGGUACCCGAAGAAAAGAGAAAGGUGUUUUGAAGAGCCUAAUAGUCAUCGCUCUGCUUUUAGACAUAUCUUCUGUGGAAGCAAGGACUGUUACUGCAGCUGUACACAAAACAUGACUGAUGUUUAAACUGUGGAAAAGGCUGAGAGCCAGCCCUUGGGUGUCAGUGCAGUCACUGGCAAAGGGUGAGGGAACAAAAACAAAAAACUAGUUCGCUAUUUCCUUUGAAUCAUUCAUGUCUGCACAAAUGCCAGACUGCUAAAGGGACAAACGCAAGUCUGCUCACUGUCAAGCUGCCUUUGGUUUACUUGUUGUGGAAGGACUAGCAAGAAAGCAAGCCAUCAGCCGAGCUGACACACUGUACAAAUACAUUUUAUUUAGAGAUACCCACAGUAAGGUGCACAAAUACAUCUUGUUCACCCAUUUUCAGGUCACACAACUUCAAGUAUUGGAAAAACAAACUGCAGUUUGUUUUUCUGCAGAACGGGGCAGUAGUAGAAGAUUCAUUUGUCAGACUACAGCAUGGGUAACGAUGCUCAGGUAUUUAAAAAGUGUAUGGGUUGUUGCCACACACACUAACAUGGUUUUUCAAAGAGCAAUGUCUUUCUGGCAUGUGAACACGGUAAAAAGGUUAAUACAAGAUGGAAAAUGUAGCUCUUAGUUUGAUCUGCAAAUGCAUCUAUUAACAGUUUUCCCCAGAAGCAAAUUAAGAGCUGAGACUGAGACAUGGGAAGCAACCUGUACAAAUCACCGUUACGUCGUCUGUGUGGUUAAGCAACGUAGAGGUGACCUAAAAUGAUUGUUUCCAGCCUACACCUUCACAGCCCUUCUGCUGCAGUCUUAUUCAGAAGACUCCAGAGUACUUGAUUGCGUUUAGCAAGCCAGCAGAAGAGCUGUAAUCAGAGAUCCAAACUCACUUGUGUUCACAGUGAGUUCUUCCACACAACUGGAAACCUCAGUCCUCAUGUUUCAAAAACCCUGUGUUCCACCCACAAGCACAUCAGCUGGAUCACAUAUUGCUGUGCCUACUUUUGUAUUCCCAUCUAUACAGAGGAGAAGGUAGUAAGGGGUGCUGAUCUGAGAGAAGUGGCGUUGGUUUAAAGCUGCACUUCAGUCAGAUGGAACUCGGUCUCUUUCCUCCAGUGUCUCUCCAAAGGAAGGUCAUCAGAUUGCACUGCUCCAUACUCCCUUUUUGCUUCUAGAUGGGGGUAGUGCUGUAUGGUGCCUGGGAGACACCAGCAAGGAUUGUGGUAUGGAUGGUAACACUUCAGAGCAAGGAACAAGAAUCAAACCAGUCUUCAGUUAGAAUCCUUGCAUUACAAACGAGAGAGACUGACUUUUACAUUGUAAUUCAGAGGCACAUUUUAUGUCGAUGAGCAGAACCCCCUGUUAGCACUGCAAUUUUCUGUGGAUUGUAAGACAAAUCUCCUGUUAAACUAAUAAAAAACACCUCAGUUACUCCGUUCUGAUAUUUCAAAUUCUCAAACUGCUUCCUCACCUGUCCGAUCCAGAGAUACCAUUCCAUUUGUGUGUAUGCAGCUGCUUCUCCUCCCUAAAAACGGCUCAGGAGAUCCUUGUCUCUGUGCACCUUGGAAGCAGACAAAUAACACUGAUGACUCACUGGGGUGGGCCCCUGUACCAUGCUCAGGAGAGAGCUGUGAAAUUAGUAGGAUUUUGCACAUUUGCGGUGAAUUCCAGAAUGAGAAAAAUAAUUGAAAUCACCAGCAAGUCCUUCAUGGCUGGCACAGGAAUGAAUUUGCAGCAAAGCCCUUCAGGCUAAGAGGAGGAUACCAGCUGGGGGAGACAUCAGGGCUGGGUAACAGCAACAGGCAGGUGGUGAGGCCCUGGCUCAGCACGCUGUUGUCCAUGCACAGAAGACUCAAACUGCAGCAGGGCUCAGACAGGCGGCCCCAAGCUUUGCAGUUCUGGUACCUGAGUAUGCCAUGAGACAGCAAAGAACUUGCUCGAGUCCAGAGGAGCAGCAAGAAGGGAGCAAGGCUGAGACUGAGUAUGGAGACAACGUAUUUUGAAUAAGAUGACAGAGCCUGUCAGAAGGUUCUCAUCCUGGCCUUUUCACACUAUUCCUGCACUGUAAGAGAAGGCCCAGCUGGCCUGGUACAGCCCUGUACAAACGGGUGGUGCUGAUUGAGCAGCAGCCAGGUGGAUGGAGCUGCAGACAGAGCCGUUCUGCUCCAUCCCAGCUGAAAGCACAUGGAGGUGGCUGGCAGCAAAGCACAGUGCUCUAAAUCAUCAUGAAAAUGAAGAGACAAAUGCACUGGCAAGCUUCAGCCAGGAGGGAGGGAGCAAGUGACUGACCAGUGGCUCUUUCCCAUGUCAUCAUCACACCUCACCUGAAGAAAAGAGCAGUAGCUUUGCAAGUUCUGGGAGCAGUUCUGUAGUGACAUAAGCAUAAAGUAUGAUGGAGUAAAACCUCAUGGCUUGCACUGCUCAAACACUGGCCACUCUGAGCACAGCAGCCUUGGGUAUUACUGCUGGCUAAAGCUAACUGUAACAACUUCUGCCUUUUAAAAACAGGGUUAGAGUUAACUCAUCUUACAGUAUGAUUUUUUUUCAUAAUCCAUUAAAUGCACACAUGCAGAUAAGCCUCUAAAUGGGAUUAAAAAUCAGCAUGAAGUCAGCGAUGCGUCCUCCUGUCUUUCUGCUCAGAGGAUCUUCAGCUGUGAUGUUGACCGAAACACCACUGAUCAGUUUAAACAAGCAUUGUGCCAGUGCUGGGCACCUCUAUUUACUUCAUGAUCUGCUGACAACCACUGCACAGUACAGAUGUGUGAGAAUUUCAGUCUCUGUAGACUUUGCGAGAGCGAAGUCUCCAUAUCUGGGUUGGCUGGACAGUAACUGAAGUUUGUGGUAAAAGAAAAUAGAGAUCUUUCUCCAGCAGGCCACAGGAUCCUCUCAUCCUGACCUGAUAUUUUCCAGACCAAGCAAGCAGCUUUGAAGUCUGUUAGUUUGAAUUAGAAAGAAACGUGAGAAGAGGAAAGCACUGAAGUUCAUAAAAUAAAGUGAAACCAAUUCUGUUCUACUGGAGAUUGACUGUGAUAAGAAUGAGGCCUUAAUUUCAAAGAAACUCUAGAGUUAAUAAAUCUAAAAGAACUCCAGGUUAAAUUCACACAGGGGUACCAUGAUCAGCUACAGCACAACCUUAGAGCUGUGAUGACAUAUUAAGGUAAAUAGGUUGAUGGCUAGUCAUGCUGCUUCUAAAUACAAAGGUAGUCUCAUGGAUCAGCAGAAUUCAAUACUUCAGUUAGUUAUGGAUAUAAAUGCCCAUUUAAGGUGACAGGAAGCAAAGAAGUGCUCCCGUUUCCAUGCUGUUAGGAUUAGAUUAACUGGGAAUAGACAUCUUGUGUCAAUCACACUCUAUCUGCGUAAAAGGCAGAAACCUAGCUCAAACCCCAGGUGUCGGUUUAAAAAUAAAGAUAUCAUUUGCCAAUUCAGAAAACAAAGCCAAAUGUGUUACACCUUUGUCUUGGAAAACAAAAAAUCACCUUUCAGAGAGGAAGAAAUGUACGAGGAAACUCUGAACGCCGAGGCCCAUGAGCGGACAGGCUAGUUCUUGCCUACUCUCAGCAGUUUCCCACUGCGAGCUGCAUCAAUAACUUUAAAGUUUCAUAGUGCAGGUAAAAACAUGUACUAUAACAUUUGAAGAGAGCUGUUACUGCUGACUUUGACAGCUUCUGUGAUCGUUCAGGACACAGUGCUGUUGGACACAGUUCAUGACAGAAAAGGCAAGCUGAGAAAGGCUCUGUUAAACAGAUGGAAUUGUAGUUGUUAACAUCAGAAACUAGAUCCAGAACAAAAGCCAGCAAGUGCCAGCAUGUCCUGAUCUCCACCCCACCCUCCGAGCUUUGGAGCUUUAAAUGUAUUUGGAAAAAAAAAAAAAAGCCAACAUUAAAAACAGUUCACUGUAGGACAUUCUACCCUCAGGCAACAAGUUGUGAUCAGCACACAUUUUAAAACACCUUCUGCAGUUUGUGCCUCAUAUGCAAUUACAUCAUAGGCGACGGGGAAGACCCAGCAUCUGUGCACACGUUAACAAACAAGCAAGCACUGACAGAAGUCACAGGUAAGAUUUAUUCCAAGACAAACCAGUGCAUUGAUUUGUGCUGACACCAGACCCUAAAACAAAUGAAACAAGUCACAGAAAGUUAACAGUACAAACCUGUUGCAACUUCAACACGUUCAUCUUAGAAAAAGACAAAGCAUGCACCCAGCCCUAAGACAGCAACGAGUUUGUGAGAUAGCUUUACAAAGAUCAAGGUACCAGAAGAGAAAGGCACAUUAACCUCUGGUUGGUCCAUUUCAGUAUUAUUUGGAUGAGUCGUAGUGAUUUACACACCCUGAGACUGUGGGAGGCCUUGAAAAAGAAAGGAGACCAGGUGAAUGGGCAAAUAAAAAGUACAAGUUUAAUGAGAUUAAAAUUCAGCACCUGAAAUUCCCCUCUUAAUAAGGGAAUCUAAAAAAGCAAUUUCUAAGAAAACCAAGUGUUGAUUCCUAGAUUUUUGUUCUGAGACCAAAGAAUCGACAUCCAGAACUAGAGACAUCCCACUGUACACUGCAAGUGUUUUUAUACAUCUCUCUUCUGGUUUAAGUCAAAUGGACUGAAUUUGUAUGCAAUCAGGUGUUUGAUGUAUUGAUUUCUUUUCCAGUCCAGAAGCAGUCAGGCAGCCUGCACUUUCUAUACCACCAGAGCUGGAACCCUGCAUUGGGUCUGUGUGCACUCUUAGACCUUCUCACUUCCAGCAGGAUAUCAGAGGCACUCGAUUUUUAAUUGUAAAGAUUCCUUUCUGUCAAGAGCUUUUUUCUUUUUUUUUUUUAUUUCUUUGUUUUUUUUUUAAUAA